AUUGAACGCUGGCGGCAGGCCUAACACAUGCAAGUCGAGCGGAUGAAGGGAGCUUGCUCCUGGAUUCAGCGGCGGACGGGUGAGUAAUGCCUAGGAAUCUGCUUGGUAGUGGGGGAUAACGUCCGGAAACGGGCGCUAAUACCGCAUACGUCCUGCGGGUGAAAGUGGGGGAUCUUCGGACCUCACGCUAUCAGAUGAGCCUAGGUCGGAUUAGCUAGUUGGUGGGGUAAAGGCCUACCAAGGCGACGAUCCGUAACUGGUCUGAGAGGAUGAUCAGUCACACUGGAGCUGAGACACGGUCCAGACUACUACGGGAGGCAGCAGUGGGGAAUAUUGGACAAUGGGCGAAAGCCUGAUCCAGCCAGGCCGCGUGUGUGAAGAAGGUCUUCGGAUUGUAAAGCACUUUAAGUUGGGAGAAAGGGCAGUAAGUUAAUACCUUGCUGUUGUGACGUUACCAACAGAAUAAGCACCGGCUAACUUCGUG
rnacentral:rRNA from 1 species